UACGGGGGGGGCAAGCGUUGUUCGGAAUUACUGGGCGUAAAGCGUGCGCAGGCGGUUAUGUAAGACAGAUGUGAAAUGCCCGGGCUUAACCUGGGAACUGCAUUUGUGACUGCAUGGCUAGAGUUUGGCAGAGGGGGGUAGAAUUCCACGUGUAGCAGUGAAAUGCGUAGAAAUGUGGAGGAACACCGAUGGCGAAGGCAGCCCCCUGGGUCAAGACUGACGCUCAUGCACGAAAGCGUGGGGAGCAAACAGG
rnacentral:rRNA from 1 species